UCGAGAUGAGCAAUGUUCUUCCCCCAUGCCUUUCCAACUUUACGCCCCGCUUCAUUGCAGGCCCACAGCAAUGCAGCCAGAAGACCGUGGUUUGGAAUUCUACAGCCGUGAGCCAAAGACCCACCUUUCAAUAACGUCAUCAUACCAGGCUGCCAUGACGGGAAUCAACCUACCAAAAUGAAGUCAGAGCCCUCGGGAUCCAAUCACUUCCGCCAAGCCCACAGUACAUGACCUGUGAGGUCCCUUCCUGUUCACUCAGGCAUCCAUCAGCAGCUGCUUGGAAGAUGCACUGGAUCUGUGUGUAAAGGCCCAAGGCAGCCCUCCGAGGCUGGGCUCCGCACCCUGGCCUUGAGGUCUGAGUCACAUACCAAAGGAAGCUUGUUUCUAAGGGAGCUUUGAAAACCUUCACUGUCUUCCUUUCCUCUCCUGCUCACUCCAUUCUCCACUGGUUGUUUUUUUGUUUGUUUUGUUUUGUUUUUUAGUGCGUGUGUCCAUGCAUGCUUGCACGUGUGUAGUAGGUGCAGAGACCAAAAGAGGACAUUAGACAUAAGACUGAGAGGUGGUUGAGACCCACACAAUUCUGGGAAUGGAACUCAAAGAUCCUAUGCAAGAGCAGCAUGUUUUCAUCUUUCCUUGUUUUGUUGUUGUUAUCGUUGUUGUUGUUUGUUUUAGGGUUUGUUGUUGUUAUUGUUUUUGUUUGGAUGUGGAGAUGGCUCAUCAGGAAAAGGUGCUUGCCACCAUGCCCAAUGACUUGACUUUGAUCCCUGGCCCCACAGGGUAGGAGAGAACUGACUCCCACACGUGCACUGUGGCACACGUGUGUG
rnacentral:lncRNA from 1 species